CCUACGGGAGGCUGCAGUGGGGAAUAUUGCACAAUGGGGGAAACCCUGAUGCAGCGACGCCGCGUGAAGGAAGAAGUCUUUCGGUAUGUAAACUUCUAUCAGCAGGGAAGAAAAUGACGGUACCUGACUAAGAAGCCCCGGCUAACUACGUGCCAGCAGCCGCGGUAAUACGUAGGGGGCAAGCGUUAUCCGGAUUUACUGGGUGUAAAGGGAGCGUAGGCGGUUUAGCAAGUCAGAAGUGAAAGCCCGGGGCUCAACUCCGGGACUGCAUUUGAAACUGUUGAACUAGAUUGCAGGAGAGGUAAGUGGAAUUCCUAGUGUAGCGGUGAAAUGCGUAGAUAUUAGGAGGAACACCAGUGGCGAAGGCGGCUUGCUGGACUGUAAAUGACGCUGAGGCUCGAAAGCGUGGGGAGCAAACAGGAUUAGAUACCCCUGUAGUC
rnacentral:rRNA from 1 species